UACAUAGGAUGCAAGCGUUGUCCGGAAUUAUUGGGCGUAAAGAGCGAGCAGGCGGUUCGACAAGUCAGAUGUAAAAUAUCCCGGCUUAACCGGGAGGGGCCAUUUGAAACUGUCGGACUAGAGUGGAGCAGAGGAUAGUGGAAUUCCCGGUGUAGUGGUGAAAUGCGUAGAUAUCGGGAGGAACACCAGUGGCGAAGGCGACUAUCUGGGCUUUAACUGACGCUGAGGCGCGAAGGCCGGGGGAGCAAACAGG
rnacentral:rRNA from 1 species